rnacentral:rRNA from 1 species
UCCGCAAUGGGCGAAAGCCUGACGGAGCAAUACCGCGUGAGGGAUGAAGGCCUAUGGGUUGUAAACCUCUUUUUUCAGGGAGGAAUCAAUGACGUGUACCUGAAGAAUAAGCAUCGGCUAACUCCGUGCCAGCAGCCGCGGUAAGACGGAGGAUGCAAGUGUUAUCCGGAAUCACUGGGCGUAAAGCGUCUGUAGGUGGUCAAAUAAGUCAACUGUUAAAUCUUGAGGCUCAACCUCAAAAUCGCAGUCGAAACUAUUAGACUAGAGUAUAGUAGGGGUAAAGGGAAUUUCCAGUGGAGCGGUGAAAUGCGUAGAGAUUGGAAAGAACACCGAUGGCGAAGGCACUUUACUGGGCUAUUACUAACACUCAGAGACGAAAGCUAGGGUAGCAAAUGGGAUUAGAUACCCC